GGUUGAUCCUGCCAGUAGUCAUAUGCUUGUUUCAAAGAUUAAGCCAUGCAAGUCUAAGUAUAAGUUGACUUCUAUGACAAAACUGCGAAUGGCUCAUUACAACAGUUGUAAUCUUCACGAUGAUCUACUUAAAUGGAUAUCCAUGGUAAUUCUGAGGUUAACACAUGCAUCUAUCUUCGGAUGGCAAUCAUUUGUUUCAGAAACCACUAAGGGUGUUAUGCCUUUAUUGUUGGUGAUCAAGGUGAUGAAGCGGAUCGCUUCGGCGACAAUUCGUUCGAGCUUCUGACCUAUC
rnacentral:rRNA from 1 species